CUAUUUUUUUUUUGUAUCAACAAGGUUCUCAAUUUCUCAUGUACUGUUCCGUAUAAAUGUACAGGAAGAUGAAACCAGUUAUUACAUCCUGACCCCUAUAUUGCCAUGAAGGACCAUGCUUACUAUAAUUUAGAACUUAGAAUUUGCGUGCAGGCAUCAGAGCACAAAGUACAAACAGGAAGCAGUCAAUACAAAUAAGAGGGGCAAGGAACAGGGUUAGAUGCAAGACCUUUUACCUUAUCAAAAUUAACAACAAAUAUUGCAACAGGAACAGGCCUAUCCAUCUCAUUUGCAGGAUAACCAGGCUCCAUGUCAAAAAUGAAUGAGUAUAGCCUCUGAAAUAUCGGCUCCACUGUAGUCGCUUCUACCUCAUACAGAGGCAAUUCCCUGCCAUAUUCGCUCUGAGAGACAAAAUAGUUAGAGUCUGUCAUGCCGAUUAUGAUCUGAACAAUAGUUAAUGAUUGCUGCAUAGGAAAAUAAUAUACUCCUGCUUACAUCUCUCGCAGUUCCUGCAGGUUGCAUUGCCUCCUUUAGUGACUUCUCAAGAGAAAUCAGCUCUGGUUGUCCAGCCUAGGGAAGUGAUUUAAUAGCGCUUCAUGACAAUAGGAUAACACAAUUGUAGGGGGAAAAUCAAUAUUAUCUGAAAUGAAGCAUUACCGCUAUAACAUUGUACAUAAUAUGAUGCUCGAUAUCAAUUGGCUCCCCUGUCUCGAAGCAAGAGGGCCUGUGAAGUGGGAAACCCAUUUUUAGGAAUUCUUCAAGCUUGUGCCCAUCCAAAGAGUAUCUAUACCCUCCAUCGCCAUUGAAACCAAUAAGAACAACAUUAACCUCGAGAGGCACUUGAAACGGAACCUGAAGAACAUUCCCAAUGAGUUAAAUAAGCAUUGGAAACCUAAACAAAAAGCAAGAACUUACAUGUUCAGACCAAAAAGGGAGAAGAACAGCACUGAAUGAUUGUGGUUUAGAUUACACUACAUUUGGUGUCAUUUGUCGUUGUAAAGGAACUAGCAAUUAGCAUAACUGUAACAACAGCUUGAUUACACCAUCAGGCUUAAGGUGAAACGCAAUUUGAACUGCCAUCCCCAUUCCAGCCACAAUUCAUAAGGUGAGCCCACUUAAAGUCAUAUGAUGCUCUUGGGUGUAAUUAUACUUGCACGCGUGAAAAAAGAAAAAAACACGAACAAAUUGGCACUGCACACUUCAUCACGUAGCUGCCGAUCUCGACGAGGAAGAAAAACGAAAUCCGAAGGCAGAUCCUACACGCAGGUAGUCUAAAAACGGAAGACCGUGCUCCGAAUCAGCUCGGCUCUAAUCAAACUGAACAGCCAUCGCGGAUCGCACUUGGAGAGGUUUAGUGGGGGAGCGAGGAGGCGGGGGAAGAGACGGGGAGUACCUCUGCGCGGGUGUGGAGCAUGCGGCGGACGUCUGCGCGGAUGCUCUCCUCGACGUCGUGGAAGGCCCCGUGGUGCCAGUGCGGGUGCCCGGGGUCACGGCGGAACGCCUCCCGCCGCGGGGCCGACGACACGGUCGCGGCGGCCGCCAGGAGGAGGAGGAGGCCGAGGAAGACGGGAGGCCCCAUCACGGAUGGCGGGUCCGGAGAAACCCUAGGCCGGGGUUUCUGGAAGCUUCGCCGUCGCAGUCUACUGGAGAGAGCGGGGGCGUGGACGGCGAGGAGGGGAGACGGGCAGCGCGGCGGCACCACAGUCCACGGCGAGUGCGUUGUCUCGCCGUCCCUCGGCGUGGGUGUUGCUUUGAGAUUAGUGACUUUUGACUCGUGUGGACUGUGGAUCUUUGCCAAGCUCAAGCGCGUUAAUUUUUCAUCUUUUCAUUUUCUUUCGGAUACUAUCGAUUUGUUGUGUUCGGAAAAAUAGAGUAACCUUUUUCCAUACGUACAAUUGGGUAUUGGAACAUGUUAAUUGGGACUAAUUGUUGCAGAUCUAGUGAUAGGGACAUUAUAGCGAUCUACAGGAACUAGUUGCUGCUGCAGAUCUAGUGAUAGUCACCGUUGAGACAGUUUGCUUGACGUUAGUUGGUUGAACGUGUUGAUGAAUCUAAUAUUUCGAAAUACUUCCUCCAUUCUAAAUUGUAGAUCAUUUUAAUUUUUCUAAAUUUACAUACAAUCUAGAUGAUGAAGGUCGGAGGCGAGCAGCCGGCAACUGCCGGAGGAGGAGGAAGGCAAGAAAAGGGCCGUUGUGGGCCGGUCGUUGGUGGUCCAAGACUUCAAGUGGAGGGCCCAAUUAAUUAACUUCGGCCCAGCACAAGACCCGCUGCCGGCCUGCUCUUAUCGCUAUUGGCUAGUGCUCCCCGCGAGCCCCCGCCCGUGGCCGCCCCGUCCGGGGAGGGCGAUUUCAUGGAGGAGGUGGAGGCGGAGGGGACGGGAGAGCAGGGGAGCGGCGGCGGCGCCGGCCGCAGCGUAGAUGCCGUCGCCGCCGCUGUGCGCGGCCGCGGACGAGGUAACUUCUUUCAUCUCGCUCUGCUGCUAGUCGUGACUGCUCUGUUGCUGUGCAAUUAAAAAAUUUCCUGCUUAGUUACGCUAGUGGUGUGUGACAUUGCUCCGUGUACUCAAUCUCAUGCUUGACUCUGCUCGAGGGCAUCUAUUCUGCCAAAAGCCAACGUGGAAUAUUUUCUGAUGAGGCCAAUGUUUGCUGAAGUAAAGUUUAUCAAAUAAGCAUAAAGGCAUUGCCAAUUUAUGUACUAGCUAGAUGGAAUUCUUGAUGUAUAACUUUUAAUUUUCACUGUUUUGUAGCUACACAUUUUGGCACAAAUUGAAAUGAGAAACUUAGGCAGAUAAGUUCCAAGUUGUAGAAUGCCCAGCAGUACAUGUAUGAGAGGCAUCCUUUUUCAUUUUCAGAAGAAUGCAUUAUCUAUGAGAGCAUUGUAUCUCAAUCAAUAUUUUUUCAACAUGGAAUCUGAAAUUCUUUUUAAAGUCUUUUUAAACUUUUUGUUGAAUGGAGAAGCAAUAAUGCUUGCUGAUUGAGAACGGCAAAGCUUAAAUUCUUAGUCUGCACACUAUUACUCUCUCGGUCAAUUUUUCUUGUGAAUGUGAUCUUAGUCUGAACAGAUGUAACCACAUAAACAACAAAAUGGCAUACAAAUUUCGAUUUAUACUUGAUCAUCAUGAUUUAUGGGUCUAUGCAUAAAUUAAAUAGCUUACAAACAGCUUAAUAGACAGACUAGUGGAAUUAUGUGGUUAAGGUGUUGUCAAUGAUUUGUUUGGAACAAUGCAGGUCAUUUUAGAACGGAGGAAGCAUGGCCUGGGAACGUUCAGUUGGAACAAUGACCCACUAUAUACAUCGUGACAAGGAGAUUCAACAUCUCAGUUGCAAUACAUUCUGGGGUUGUCUGCUUUGUUGGAACUUUGCUAAGAAGUGUGUUAGCAACCGUACUUGUUCUUUGUUGCACAUUUUUAGCGCACGACGCUUAUUGUCCCACGUCUUGCCAAGAUUUCCCACACCAUUAUUACAGAGGUUUCCAAAACAUGCAAAAAGAUCAUUCUACAAUUUAUCAGCCAACUUGCUACACCAUUUUCCAUCAAACCACAUGCAAAAUAUGGGAGGGGGAGAUACAACAGAUCCCAGCAACAGUGACUACCUAUUUAGCAUCACAGAGUGAGAAGAGAAAGCAGCAGAGGUUGUCAGGUAAAUACAACACAUGUUUGCACGCUGGCGAUCAUUGAUCAGGACCUUUGAAUGUAAAAGAACGCAGCUCUUUCUGUAAUACAUGAGCAGACAGUCUAUGCAUAUUGUCACAUUGGCACACCUUUAUUUUUCAAACUACAGAAUAACAGAACACGAAUUAGCAGCUGUAUACCGUACACUGACCGUUCAGUGACAAACAGAACACGGCGUCGAAAAGCUACAGCUUUGAUUGUGGUUUAGAACCCCGGCCCUGAAUGAAUUUCUGCAUAUUCGCGAAUUGCUCUUUUGUCAUGCCACUGUAAUACUUGUGACCUCUUUCCUGAAAAUUGGAAUCCUAAAGAUAUGAGACACAUGCAUUUCUGAAUUAAUAUAGGAAUCUCAAUUAAUUUCUUUAUAAUGAACAUUGAUACUGAACACAAACGUUCAGCUAAAAUAUUUGCUCAUUUGUCACCAAAGGAUAAUUAAAGUGUCCAUUGCUAAGAUCCUUGAGAAUAUUAGAUGAACAUUUCUUAUGGAGCCACCCAUAGAUUUCCACUGGCAUAUAUGCUUCGUGGUUAAAAUACCACACAAGAUCAGCUAAGGUCAAUAAUUUGACCAUAGAAACAUUAAGCACCACGUAAGUAAAAUGUACCACGCAAUGUGCAAGUUCGAACCUUUUCAAGUGCUUGAGCAUGUUUCAAGUCCAGCUGAAACCCAUCAUUUAUAACCGAUUUGUAUAACAAAACUAAGUUGGGGUUGUUCCUUGCAAUAGCCUCAGCAACCUCUAUUGCCUUAUUCAGCACCUCCUUGUCAUCCACUAUGUGGUUAACAAGCCCCCACCUCUCUGCCAUUUCAGCAGUAACUGGCAUGCAGGUUAGUGACACUUCCCGUGCUCUGUUAGGCCCAAUGAUGCGAGAAAGCUUCUGUGAAAGACCCCAGGAGGGAAAUAUCCCAAACCUACAUCACAUGAACAGAUAGAUUAGAGCACAACAGGUGAAAUGAACAAGUUAGAUUGCAAUGCCAUGAAUUGGAGCGCGAAAAGGUAUCGACUGAUGAUAGUGGAGAACACGAGCAGUGUUUCAGUGCAUGCUCUGGCCAAGGAAUGCAUAAACUCAAAUAUCAAGUCUCACUUUCUGAAAAGUGGAAUAUUACGUCUUUUGUAUGGAACUAUAUCCAGGCAGAGAACACUGAAACUUUUUAAUUUCCCUACCAAUUCCGUAUCAUCCCCAUUUCCAGACACACAGUUUUUUUUUUAGUUACCGCCCAACUGAAAAGUAUUCCAACAAACUACUAGCAAAGAGUGCCUCUAAUAGUCUAAUUGCAACCCUAUAGUCGCAAGAGCAGCAAAAGUUAUAGCAGGUUACUGAUUCCGAGCAAUCGUGAUCUGGAUGAAGUAGAGGACUAUUGACGCACUUGGCGUGGGUGUCGAGGAACUUGGCGGAGCGUCCGGCGACGAGGAUGUCGCAGGCGAGGGCGAUCUCGAAUCCGGCGGUGACGGCGAACCCCGCGAUGGCGCCGACGAUGGGCUUGCGGCAGAGCUCCAUCUGCGCGACGGGGUCGGUGGCGACGUCCUUGACGUCGCCCUUGAACACGUCCUCCGCCGCCGUCAGGUCCACCCCGGAGCAGAACGCUCGGCCGCGGCCCGCGAGCACGACCGCCGCCACGGCGUCGUCGGCGCCCAGCCGCCGGAACGCGGCCGCCAGGGAGACCAUCAUGGGCUUCGUCAGCGCGUUCAGCGCCGCGGGACGGUUGAUGGUCACCACGGCGACCGGGGACCCCGGCCUCGCCGGCUCCACCACGAUGAGGUCGCCGGAGUCCGGCGGUGCGGCGCCCAUCGGGUCUGAUUGGGUUUGGGUUAGCGUCUCGGGUUGGUGUGCUCCCGCAAGCGGCCCCCUUUUGACUUGCCUGAUGAGCAGAUGGGAUCCACACUGCGCCGUAGAGCCGACGACAUCCAGGGCCCACCACCUAGAGAGAGCUACCGGAGUCGGCUUGCGUAUUCGACUAGCGAAUGCUGAUAACGUUGGUGACGUGGCACGUGGGUGACUAGCAUGUGGAGGGGAGGUGGAGCCCAGCCCACCGACGUUUUGCUGGUAAAACUGAGAAGCACAGUUGAGAGUUGGGACAGAGACAUCGUGCUUCGGUAAACAAUUACCAGGUCGUGUUUAGUUACUCCUAAAAUUCCAACUUUAGCACUAUGUAAAAAGAAAAUUCCCCAUCACAUCAAACUUGCGGUACAUGCAUGGAGUACUGAAUGUAGACGAAAUUAAAAACUAAUUGCACAAUUUUGUUGUACUUCACGAGACGAAUCUUUUGAGCCUAAUUAGUCGAUAUUUGGACAAUAAUUUAUAAAUACAAACAAAACGCUACAAUACGCUACAGUAAUUUUGGUUGCCCAAAGUUAAGCUACUAAACAAGGCCCCAGUUUCUUUGUUCUUCUGGAAUGCAGUUCUGUACAUAACUAGGCUGCUGCAAACACCGCCGCUAGGGAGUAGGGAUCACAUCUGAGGCCGAUGCCUUCGACGGAAUGGAUCGCAACACCUUUUUUGUCGCACCCAAUCUCAUCCGAUGCGUCCCAUACCGUCAAUAAUCCACCAACUUUAAUUUGUUCUGACCAGCAAACAUGUCACUAGCUCACGUUGCAACAAGAAGUCCAAAGGAAUACGAGAACGAAGCUAUGAGAAUAAACAAAAGAACACCGUUGCGGCGUCACUCACAGAUCAUCUAUCCUACCUAGCUAAGCACGACUGCACGAGUGACGUUACACUGAUCGAGGCCAAAUUAGCCCCCGAACUAAUCUAUUGGACUAGAAAACGAAUCUGAACAAGCAGCUAACAAUAGCAGAAGCGGCGAUCGAUCGAUUCAGUUCAGGGCUUCAGGCCAUGAUCAGCUGGCGCACGUUGACCGGCGAGAUGUCCGAUGGGCCGCCGUCGAGGAUCCGGCGGGCGAUGAGCGCGUUGGCGGCGUCGCUGGGGUGGUAGGGGUCCCAGAACACGUACUUGGACCUGUCCGCGCAGUACCGCGACGUCGGCCCGCACGGCACCAGCCCGCCGAACCGCCCGCCCACGUAGCAGCACGCCGAGUCCGCCACCUCGAACCCUGCACGAACGAGAGCAGCGAAAUCGAUAAGAUCACAAUGAUCUCACAGCAUUUUUCCCAGCCUCCAAACGAUUCUUUCACGACACCGUGGGAUCUGUAGUUGGCGAUGAUGUCGGAGACGAUGUGGUAGACGUCGGCGUAGACGAAGCGGGAGCCGGGGAGGGCGGCGCCCAGCUCGUCCACCAGGGCCCUCAGCCGCCGGUUGAAGGACCGCGCCAGCUGGUUCGGGAACUCGGCGCAGGCCGCGGCCGCCGACGGGUUCGUCUCCCUCUGGUACGGGAUGCAGCCGAUCGGGCCCACGUUCGCCACCACGACCUUGCGGGCGUCCAGGAGGUACAGCCUCUGCGACGCACACAAGCCACCGCGUCAGGCACGCACGCUGCGCGACAACUCGCGGCAGCUUUCAAGCAGGUGCCUACGUACCGCGAGCUGCUGGCGGUACUUGGCAAUCAUGGCGCCGAUGAAGGCGGCCGGCGGCGUCGAGGCGCGCUCCGGCACGGAGAGGAUGGGCGUGAGGUAGUUGUUGAUGAAGUCGUUGGAGCCCAUGGUGACCGAGAAGAGCGCGCCCCGCAGCAGGCUCACCGCCGCCACCUCCCCGUGCAGGGCGAUCAGGUCGUGCCGGCUGUUGGCGUAGUUGUCGAUCUGAGCGUCCAAGUUCAGGCGCCCGCCCUGUCCAAAGACAAAACCAGACAGAUAUCAGCACCAGCUUGCGUUAAAACAAUCACACUGUCUCCAUUCAAAAUCCAGAAUGUUUCUUUCCUGUACAAGCUCAGCUUAGCACUCAUGACAGGUCAUCUUGGUAGGGGACAGUGAAACAGUAAAAAUGAUAAUUUAUUUACAUUAUUUAUGUGCGGCAAUGCAGGGCAUGCAGCUAGCGAUUCGUUAGCCUUCACGCAAAAGAGAAGGUUUUGGAGAACUGACUCAUGCGGAGGCGAUGAUCAAAACUUACUCGGGAACAAGCUAAGCAUUGGGGAUAAAACACACACACACACAUGUAAAGUACUCUUAGAUUAGUACGACGAUUUCACACAGCAGGAAUAGUGGAGAGGCCGUGUACUGACGAAGAUACUGCCGGUUUGGUUCAGGAUGCCUCCGCCGCCGGACGCGUAGUUGACGCCUCUCAGCAAGGCGUCGCCGGUGGUCUCCGGGGACAUGUACGGCGGCACGAACCCUCCCAGCCCCAUCUCUUGCCCUGAAACACGAAAACAAGUGAGGAAAAAUUCAGGGGCCGAUGCAAUAAUGCAAGGCAAUGUAACAGUAAAGCUCAGGCAAAGAGACUGAGCAGUCACCUAGAAUGUCGACGAUGGUCCGGCCGUUGGUGUACCGGCCGGUGGGCUGGUGGCCGAGGAAGUCGAUGCCGUUCGGGGGGUAAUUCGCCUUGGACAGGGAGACGAUGUAGUUGUUGUUGCCGGCGUCGACGAGCGAGUCGCCGAAGAUGAAGGUCGCUGGCAUGCCAGCGCCGGCGACGCGAGUUGGCGCGAGCAAGACGAGGCAGGCCAGCAGGACGAAAUGAGAUGCCACUCUGGGCCGCCGCUCGUGCGGAGGACACAUUGACGAGGCAAGAACGUCACGUACACCGAGAGAUCUCAGAUGAGGGGAUACAACUAGACAAGCAACGUUUUGCCUAGAAGUACAGCUACUGUUCAGUGUUGCUAGAAGCCUUGGAAGUUGCUAGCUCACUUGAUCCUACUGGUUAUUGUUGAAAGUGCGAGAAGUGGUUGCGGUAGAGGAGAAGUUUGAUGGCGAGGGAAGAGAGGUUGCCUACUUAUAUAGCACGAGAAACAGAAUCUAAGGGACUGCAGAAAAUAACACAGAUAAUUGAGACAAUAGAAGAAAACAAACAGACAGAAAUAGGCUUGAUUGGGCCUUGCAAGUAGUACUAAUUAGCUCACUAAUAAAUACCAGAUAUUAUGAGCAGAUGACAGACCGAGGUUUAAAGAUGGAACAAAUGGAGGCAAAGAAAGCGGCCAAGAAACCAAGACUGACGGGGAGGAAAGAUUGUGUGACCUGCGAAGGUUGUUGCGAGCAACAUACAUAAAAACUCACAUGGCAUUGUUUUCACAUGAACGUAUCAUGGUUCAUGGACUCUCCCAUUCGGCAUUGAUUGGUUGCCGAUCUCUCAAGCCUUCAUCAGGUGCCCGUGAGCCUUUGGCACCGGGACGGUGACAGAAUUCUGCUUCUAGGACUGGAGCGAGAGUCGGAUCGGUUCCCGCAUUUGGCGCAUCUCAUUGUACUAGGAUCAGGCUCCUGAAAUGGACUGCAGCGGGCAGCCGAGCCCAGGACAUGACGGAGGACCGAGGGUCCUGUGAAAGUGCUUUUGCUUUCAAAAAAAAGUCAAAAGCUAAAUUAAAGGGGUGAGCUUCUAAACCUCUACUUCUACAAAAAGCAAUUUUUUAGUUCAUUCUCCACAGCCACACUUGGUGGACGUUUCACGAAAAUUACCCGCAAUGCUACCGUUUAUGGGCGUACCCCUUCGUUUUUCUUUCCCACCGACGCCUCUGUCGCUCCCCACCCGACGCCUCCUCUCAGUCCCUGCCCGACACCUACUGCGCUAGGGUUUCAUCGCGCCCUCCGACGGCGGUCCGGCCGUGCCCUCCGGCGGCGGCGCCCCUCAUUUGCCUCCCCUCAAACUGGCGGCAGCGCUCCACCCACCGAAUUGAGCAUCCACGACCCUUGUCGUCCUCCCAGCGAGCCCACGGCGGUGCCCCUAGUUCACCUCCCCUGAAGAUGGCGGCUGCACCCUGAAGCCGGCGGUGGUGGCGCUCUGAAGCCGGCGGUGACGCUCCUCCUCGUCCUUCCCUUGAGCCCGUCGUCCACCUCCCGAUCUGCACGCCAGCAACCUCCCCUUCCAGAUCUGGUGCUAAGGUAACUUCGACUCUCCUUCCAGACAUGAUAGCAAGCAUUUUAUAGCUCAUUUUUUCUAUGCCAAAUGCUGCUCCAAGGAGAAACACGGCUAGGCCAAAUAGCUCAUGGUAAUGCAGUACUAGUUUUGUGUCCAUAACCAAAAUGAGGUGCAUGGUAUUUUGUUUCUGAUCUAUACUAUAUGUAAAGGGUUAACUGACUAGCAAGGGUGAAUUGCUAGAGUUCAUUACGGUUGAAAUAAUUUGGCUAGCGUGAAUAACCUGCUUGUAUUUAAGUUCUACUAUAUGGUGACGCAUCACUAUUUUCUUAACUCAGCUAAAAAGAUGGGUGUAUUUUUUUAUUGACAUGUUUGCAAGAUACAAAGCUGGUUCGUAUUGUCCAAUAUACUUUUAAGCCAUAUACAGCUCUUUAUGUGUGUUGAUAAUAGGCUUGUCCUCAAGACAUGGCUAAUUUGCUUGGGGUCCAGGUUUGUCACAACCUGGAGAAAGUUAUGCUUUAUGUGUGUUGAUAAAUUGGUGGAUGCAUGACAAAUUGGAGGAUGCAUGAGCAUUGAUAUUGUUAUGAUUGUGAAUUGAAUCAAUUUUUUUUCUUUGUUCAAGAAUGACUGAUAAGGCAGAUUGGUGUAAUGUCAAUGUGAGGCAUUUCAUUGACAUAUGCAAAGGAGAGAUAGAAGCUAGGAAUAGAUCCUUGGGAAUGUUCACUAGGGCAGGUUGGAAAAAUCUGGUAACUAAGUAUGAAGAAAAAAUUAGGCUGAAGCAAAUAAAGAAACAAUUGAAGAAUAAGUUGGACAAUAUGAAAAAGGAAUAUACAUGGUUUAUGGAGUUCAAGAAUUCUGCCAUCGGUCUUAGAUGGAAUAACGCAAAGCAAGCUGUUGACUGCUCCAACGAAUGGUGGGAUCAACACCUAGCUGUAAGAACUGUGUACUGUCUUUUUUCAUUUACAAUUUUGCAUUUUGAGUAUAUGGGCCGACUUAUUAACUUUAUCCAUUUAAUUUCAGAGAUGCAACAAUCCUGAUAAAGUUAUCAAAUACAAUCAUAUUAGGUUCAGAAAACAAGCACCGAAGCACCUUGAUGAUCCUCAUAUGUUGUUUGAUAGGAUACAUGUUAGCGGGGCAAGUGCAUCCUAUCCUGGAGAUAUUUCCUCCGAUGACUCAAGUGAUGAGGAUGUGGGUGAGAUACAUAAACCUCUAGAUAAUGAUGAUGUCAAGUUGGUUGCUCUGAAAAAAUCGAAACUAGGAAAAAAGAAAUGAAAGGAGUCCUCUACUGCUACUGACGAAAAGGAUGAGAAGAGCCCAUUCUUUUGAUUGUACAAGAACACAUAUUUGAAGAUAGAAACUGCAGCAGAGAAGAUCUCCACAAGUAUUGAAGCAUCAUCUGCACCUCCAACCAGCCAAGUCCCUACCAUUGCAGAGGAUAUGAAGAUGGUUAAAGAUUGUGGGAUGCAAGAGAAAAUAGUUCUAAUGCAUAUAACCACCUUUCUGAUUGUCAAGCCUGAAUUUAGGGAGAUCUUUAGCAUGCUGGAAACAAAAGAAGGAAGGUUUGACUUGAGGUUUAUCUUUACAUUUGCUGGCCAGGUUCUGCACAUGACACAUGCAUCCUGAACCAUGCGUUAGCAAAUUUUUCUUCAUUUCCCGUGCCUCCUAAAGGUAUGCAUGUUUUGUUACUGGUUGUCAAUAUUUCUAUUGUUAUUUAGCUUUGCUGAUUUGGUUUUAUAGGUAUUACCUCGUGGACUCUGGUUAUCCAAAUCGAAUAGGAUAUCUUGCCCCUUUUAAAGGAAGCACAUACCAUACACUAGAGUUUCAACUUCGUAAUGGACGUGCUCCUCAAGGGAAGUACGAGGUGUUCAAUUUCUUGCAUUCAUCUCUUCAAAAUGUCAUUAAGCGAGCUUUUGGGGUCUUGAAGCAGAAGUGGCGUAUUUUGAAGGGCAUUCCAAGUUUUCCUACUCAAACUCAGAAGCAUAUAAUUCUAGCUUGUAUGGCAUUGCAUAAUUUUAUUCGUGACACCAAUUUGGAAGACAAGUUGUUCGAUAGAUGUGAUGGUGAUGAGGAAUACCUGCUACAACACAGUACCACGACAGAAACACAAGAAGAUGACAAUCAAGAUGGAGAGAAUGAGGACACCAUGAAUACCAUUCGCAAUAGGAUAGCCGAUGCUUUGGUUAGUGCGAGAGGGAGAUAGUUAUGUUGAAGAAGGACAUCAUUAUGUGAACCAUAGUCUUUUGUAAUAUUCUAUAAUUUUAUUUAUGUGGACCAUAUAUUAAUGGUGAAUGAAAAUCUUUAAGAAAAUUAAUUUUUUUCUUUUUAAAAUGGUAAUUUACAUGCGAAUUAGUGAACAAAACAGUGUUUUACAAUAAAUUUAAAUAUCAACAUUCUCUUAGCAGUUCAGGGGCAUUACAGAACAUUUCUUACCAAACCUACAGCUUCACAAAUAUUCUAACCAAACGGCUUUCAGCUCUCUCACAGCUCACAACAGCUUUUCUCACAGCUCACAGCCCACAACAGCUUUGUUUAUAGCCACAGUCCAACCAACCAUACACUGAAUCCGGCAGGGACGCUGCUAUCAGCUAUUUACUGUGCCUCGCGUUAUAAUGCUCGAUGCAAGGGGCGCCACUCGAUCUCGAAACAGAGCAAACUAGCCAUCGAGUGGGUUUUCGUUUUCCUAAGAAAAGCUGCGGAAACUGCUGAGUGAUAGCGUAGGAGACGAACGGACGAUGGAUGCUGAAAGGAACAAGCAUCGACCAGCCAGUUGAAGCUGCCGUCGGAGGUGGCCGGCUUUGCGGCGCGCUCUUGCAGGUUGCAGCCUUGCAGGUGAUUCAAGGUGUCACUUGUUUUACUGAUCCUCGUCCUUUGUCCUGAAUUUAUAGACCUGUUUGGCAACCAAGUGUUAAAGUUUAACACCCGUCACAUCGGAUGUUUGGAUGCUAAUUAAGAGUAUUAAAUAUAGGCUAAUUAUAAAACUAAUUGCAUAGAUGGAGUGUAAUUCGCGAGACGAAUCUAUUAAGCCUAAUUAGUCCAUGAUUUGACAAUGUGGUGCUACAGUAACCAUUUGCUAAUUAUGGAUUAAUUAGGCUUAAUAGAUUCGUCUCGCGAAUUAGCACAGGGUUCUGCAAUUAAUUUUAUAAUUAGCUCAUAUUUAGUUCUUCUAAUUAGCAUCCGAACAUCCGAUGUGACACUGUUAAAGUUUAACACCUCGUAUCCAAACACCCCCAUAUCGUGUACGUCUUGGAAAUAAAUUUCUCUGCUUCCAUCUGCUAGCGCUUGUACGUCACACGUUUUAGGAAUGUAUAUAGCGGCAGGACGCCUUUGACGAUUAAAAAAGUAAAGUUAACAACCUCACUAAGAAACAGGUUUUCACCGUUAGAAAAAGGUAACAAGUUUUGACUUUUGAGUAGCCAUCUCAAGCAAAACAUGUCCCGUUCCAAGAUCCAUUGUUUGCUUCACACAACGCAAGGUGACAAGCUCAAGGUUCUGAACUGAGCACCUUUCGCAGCCCCUGCAAGAGCAGACAAAAUGAAAAGGUCCAUUUUACUCCCGUAACCUCCAUGAACAAAAUUUAGACUCGCUUUACUCCCUUAAAUUAUUUCAUUUGGUCCAAUCUACCUCCGAAUUAGAUUUCUCUUUUUUGUUCUCCGUGUACGAGUUGAAUUUUGAAUUCAACUUUUGUGAGCAUACGCAAAACAUGAUUUCUUUUGUUAAAAAAUUAUACUACAAAUUUUUCAUGGUUAUUUUCAUAGGUUAGGAAUAUGUAAUACGAAAUUGAUCUUAGAGAUACAAAACUAUACAAAAAGUAAUAACAAAAAAUUGCUAAUGUAUUUUUCUAACAUAAAGCAUCAUGUUAUAAGUUCACUGUCAAAAUCUGAAAUUAAAAUUCAACUUCUACAUGAAGAAAUAAAAAAGAGAAAUCUAAUUAGAAGGUAGAUUGGACCAAAUAAAAUAGUUCAUGGAGUAAAGUGAGAUUAAAUUUUACUUAAGAGGUUAAGUGCAUAAAGUAAAUAGGUUAGGGGUAAAAUGGACUUUUCCCAAAGAAAAUGCACCACCCGGCACACGUUGAUAGCGGGUCAAACAGAUCAUCAUCCCCGGCUAGUGGUUCAGAAGAGCAAUUUGAACAGAAGAUGCCCAACGUCAAUUUGAGUCUAUCUUGGUUCAGAACUUCAUACGGCGCGACAGGAAAUAAAGAUAAUAAUCUUCUACUACCUGUGUCUAUCUUUCUGAACGUACAAGUUUCUUCUUCGGAAAAAAAAAACUACAGUCGUACAAGAGAGCCCAAACUAGUACCCAACUAGUAACUUAGUAAGCCCAUGAGCAUCAACAGCCCAUCCAACAAGAGAGGAAGAGGAUCCCUUCCAAAUCGCCUUUGCUCGCCCGGCCCGACAUCAUAGCCAUCUCGUCGGUCGUCGUGACGGGACCGCGCCCGACCGGCGGCAUCUCGGCCCAGAUGCUGCACCUGCCUUCUUCGUGAUUGGAUUUGGAACAAGUCUGCUGCUGUCAUGCAUGGUCAUCGUCUGUCUGUCGAUUCUCUAUGAGUUUUAAAAAUUAUUAUCACCAAACAAGAAUGUUUUAAUUUUCCCCUUAGCAAUAUGUUCUAAUUUUCUCACCAUGUCAACCAUCAAUUAGCAUCUGUACAUAAAUUUCAUCUUUAAAACAGGAACUAUCUAUUCCUCACAAAGUGAAAUGAAGGGCUUCCCCACUCGAAUUUUUCAGCUAUUAGAUCUAAAAUCGGUGGCUCGGAUCAACUCCCUCUCUCUAUCUUAUCUCCUCCCUCCCCCCGACUCCCCCCACCAACCCCGACGCCACCCCUCCCUUCUCGUCCGCUCCUGUUGCCCUCCUCCUCCCUGCUACCUCCCCGGCGCCGACGAGGCCCGCCUCCCACCGCCACCCCUCCCUCCUCGUUUGCCCCUGCCACCCUCUCUGUCUCCGGCGGCUGUCGCUGCUAGAGACACCACCGCCGUCUCUACCGCUGCCGCUCCUCCCUCUGCCGUCGUCGGCUACAUCGCCCCCGCCCCGGCACCGCCCAACUGCCGUUCACUGCCGCCGCACCUCACCGCCCCCACGCCCGCCACCUCCACUGGGCCGACCUUCCCUCUAGGGCCGCCGGUGAGCACUCACUCCGAAACCCUGAACCCCUAACCUCGGCGCCCCUAAUCUCGCCGGAGUUGGAGAAGAAAGGGGAAAUGGUGUGCAAAUGCGGAGGAAGAAAAAUUUGCGUGAGGAAGACCUCUGUUUCACUCGGGUGAGCUAUAGCUUUUCCGUAAAACAAAAAGAUUUGUGUGGUUGGGGAAAUUGGUUUAACUUCUCAAUCGCAUAUCCGCAUGCAACCGCAAGCACGCCGUGUAUCGUCUGAAUCGUGAUCGGUGAUCACAGGACCGGUUGGCGCAUUGCGAUGGUUAACGACCGGUCAUCAUGAACUCAGGAUCGUGCUUGUCCUCCGGGCUCGAGUGACGGCCAAGUUCAGGAAUGCGAUGCUAGCGGAGUUUUGUACAAGCGCGUGCCGUGGUCUCUCGUCGGGUCUCACCAGGGGAAGAGGCGGUCAAGUACCUCGCCGUCGACUUCGCCAACAACAGCAAUGAGUGGGCCGGGUGCCGGCCCGCUACUGCCGAUCGAACUGAAUGGAGAAUUGGAGGUACAUGCACAGGUGUUGCCAUGUUGGGAAGAACUAGUUGUACUCUUCUCCCAUAUGCUGCAGUCGAGUGUAUCCCCCCUAAUGCUAAAUUCGAUAGAGAGACUGAAACGGUCGAUCACUUGUGAUAGGACUCCGGCAGAUCUUAACUAAUGAUUCUCGCCUCAAUUUGUGCAGUGCUUAUAACAAGGGAAAGGACCUUUUUCUGUGGUGUCCAGCGCAUCAUCACAUUUAUUUGGCUGUAAGCUGUAUCAUGACAUUUGCAACGGCCUUGUCACUUUGCAGUACAAACAUACAGCAAGCAAGCAUGAACUCCAUGUAGCUCAUAAUAAUUUGUUUAUUUCGACGAAAUACACGAUAGUACGUAUGCAAAGUAAUCCAUUCACUUUGCCGCUAACAGUGUAUAUACACCGUAUACAAUUACCAUCGACUAAGCACAUUACCGCUAUUGUUCUGUUUAUCACGCUCGUUUCGCAGAGAGUAUGAUCGGUAUAGGCGUAUACCAGACACAUGCAUGCUGACGUGCUUGACUCGACUCCACACCCGACCGUCAAGGGUGUGCGUGCAACACUUGCAUGCGCUCGCCAUGCAUGUCAA
rnacentral:lncRNA from 1 species